GGAAGGAUCGCAUAGUGGUCGAUUGCGCACGCUUGGAAAGCGUGUAUACCGAAAGGUAUCGAGGGUUCGAAUCCCUCUCCUUCCGCCA
rnacentral:tRNA from 3 species